rnacentral:rRNA from 1 species
UACGGGGGGAGCAAGCGUUGUUCGGAUUUACUGGGCGUAAAGGGCGCGUAGGCGGCCACCGCAAGUCGACUGUGAAAUCUCCGGGCUUAACCCGGAAAGGUCAGCCGAUACUGCGGGGCUAGAGUGCAGAAGGGGCAACUGGAAUUCUCGGUGUAGCGGUGAAAUUCGUAGAUAUCGGGAGGAACACCAGUGGCGAAGGCGACUACCUGGCCUGUUCUUGACGCUGAGGCGCGAAAGCUAGGGGAGCAAACGGG